rnacentral:lncRNA from 8 species
UCUGCCAAUGUAGACAAAGUGAGAAGUCAGUCCAGCACAAGAAGAGAUGAUAGAAGAAGUACUGAGUCCUCCACAAGAAGAGAUUACAUUAGAAGAGAUGACAAAGGAAGUACAGAGACUGCCAGAAGAAGAGAUGACAAAAGAAAUACUGAGACUGCCAGAAGAAGCGAUGACAAAAGAAGUACUGAGACUGCCACAAGAAGAGAUGACCGAAGAAGUACUGAGACCGCCAUAAGAAGAGAUGACAGAAGAACAACAAGUACAGGUAAUUGAAUGGUCUGUGGUGAUAACUUAUCAGCUGAUAUCACGUGUGUGUGCCUACCUUGAAGUCAGUCAUGUGCUUCUGUAUUUUUCUAUUGAAGGGAAAGAAAAAAUUAAAAGGAAAAGCCGCAGUAGAUCGUCAUCUUCCUCCUCAUCCAGCUCAUCCUCGUCAUCGGGAUCCUCUUCAUCAUCCUCAUCCAGCUCCUCGUCUGGCAGUAGGAGUAGUUCGAGCAGCAGUGAUUCCCACAGCAAGUCCAGAAAGAAUUCUAAGAAAAGGAAAAAGGAAAAACAACUCAAAAAGAAAGGGAAAAGGGAGAAAAAGCUUAAACGGAAGAAGGACAAGAAAAUGAAGACGGAGGAGGAAAGCGCUGGACCUGGACCUAUUCAGAUAUCCAAGUAUUUAAAAGAGAGAAAGAGAAAAAGCAAGUUCAGCAUGAUUUCAGGAAAGAAGAUAAAAAUGAAAUUGAAGAAGUCAAAGAAAGACAAGCUGAGAGACAAGAAUCGCGCAGAACUGCUUGAAUUCCUCAACUCCACGUUGUAA